GAUGAACGCUGGCGGCGUGCCUAACACAUGCAAGUCGAGCGAACAGACGAGGAGUUUGCUCCUCUGACGUUAGCCGCGGACGGGUGAGUAACACGUGGAUAACCUACCUAUAAGACUGGGAUAACUUCGGGAAACCGGAGCUAAUACCGGAUAAUAUAUUGAACCGCAGGGUUCAAUAGUGAAAUACGGUUUUGCUGUCACUUAUAGAUGGAUCCGCGCCGCAUUAGCUAGUUGGUAAGGUAACGGCUUACCAAGGCAACGAUGCGUAGCCGACCUGAGAGGGUGAUCGGCCACACUGGAACUGAGACACGGUCCAGACUCCUACGGGAGGCAGCAGUAGGGAAUCUUCCGCAAUGGGCGAAAGCUUGACGGAGCAACGCCGCGUGAGUGAUGAAGGUCUUCGGAUCGUAAAACUCUGUUAUUAGGGAAGAACAAAUGUGUAAGUAACUAUGCACGUCUUGACGGUACCUAAUCAGAAAGCCACGGCUAACUACGUG
rnacentral:rRNA from 1 species